UGGGUAACCUGCCUCAAAGAGGGGAAUAGCCUCCCCGAAAGGGAGAUUAAUACCGCAUAAUAUGUUUAAGUCGCAUGACUUUAACAUCAAAGGAUUUUCUUUUAGAAUUUCCACUUUGAGAUGGACCCGCGGCGCAUUAGCUAGUUGGUGAGGUAACGGCUCACCAAGGCAACGAUGCGUAGCCGACCUGAGAGGGUGAUCGGCCACAUUGGAACUGAGACACGGUCCAGACCUCCGUAGGGAGG
rnacentral:rRNA from 1 species